ACCUACGGGGGGCAGCAGUGGGGAAUAUUGCACAAUGGGGGAAACCCUGAUGCAGCGACGCCGCGUGAGUGAAGAAGUGCCCCGGCACGUAAAGCUCUAUCAGCAGGGAAGAAAAUGACGGUACCUGACCAAGAAGCCCCGGCUAACUACGUGCCAGCAGCCGCGGUAAUACGUAGGGAGCGAACGCUGUCCGGAAUUACUGGGUGUAAAGGGAGCGUAGGCGGGGAUGCAAGUUGGGUGUCAAAACUACCGGCUCAACUGGUAGUCGCACUCAAAACUGCAGCUCUUGAGUGAAGUAGAGGCAG
rnacentral:rRNA from 1 species